AUUGAACGCUGGCGGCAGGCCUAACACAUGCAAGUCGAACGCGUGGCGGACGGGUUAGUAAUGUCUGGGACACUGCCUGAUGGAGGGGGCUAACUACUGGAAACGGUAGCUAAUACCGCAUACCCUCGGAUGUGCCCAGAUGGGAUUAGCGAGUAGGUGGGGGAAAGGCUAACCUAGGCGACGAUCCCUCGCUGGUCUGAGAGGAUGACCAGCAAGACUGGAACUGAGACACGGUCAAGACGCCUACGGGAGGCAGCAGUGGGGAAUAGUGCACAAUGGGCGCAAGCCUGAUGCAGCCAUGCCGCGUGUAGGAAGAAGGCCUUCGGGUUGUAAAGUACUUUCAGCUGGGAGGCGUUACCCGCAGAAGAAGCACCGGCUAACUCCGUGCCAGCAGCCGCGGUAAUAC
rnacentral:rRNA from 1 species